GACACAGGUAGUCAAGGAGAGAAUCCUGAGGUGCUCGAGUGAAUCAUGGCUAAGGAACUCGGCAAAUUAACCCUGUAACUUCGGGAAAAGGGGUGCCCUCAGCAAUGUGGGUCGCAGAGAAAUGGCCCAGGCGACUGUUUAACAAAAACACAUGGCUAUGCGAAAUCGAAAGAUGAAGUAUAUGGCCUGACACCUGCCCGGUGCUGGAAGGUUAAGGGGGGACGUUAGUCGCAAGACAAAGCGUUGAACUGAAGCCCCAGUAAACGGCGGCCGUAACUAUAACGGUCCUAAGGUAGCGAAAUUCCUUGUCGGGUAAGUUCCGACCUGCACGAAUGGUGUAACGAUCUGGGCGCUGUCUCAGCCAUGAGCUCGGUGAAAUUGUAGUCACGGUGAAGAUGCCGUGUACCCGCAACGGGACGGAAAGACCCCAUGCACCUUUACUAUAGCCUCACGUUGACAUUGGGUAAAUGAUGUGUAGGAUAGGUGGGAGACAUUGAUCCCGGGCCGCUAGGUUCGGGGGAGUCAACGGUGAAAUACCACCCUUUAUUUUCUUGAUGUCUAACCUCUAACAAGGGACAGUGUGUGGUGGGUAGUUUGACUGGGGUGGUCGCCUCCGAAAGUGUAUCGGAGGCUUUCAAAGGUAUGCUCAGUACGCUUGGUAACCGUACGUGGAGUGCAAUAGCAUAAGCAUGCUUGACUGUGAGACCGACGGGUCGAGCAGGGACGAAAGUUGGAUAUAGUGAUCCGGUGGUUCUGUAUGGAAGGGCCAUCGCUCAAAGGAUAAAAGGUACGCUGGGAUAACAGGCUGAUCUCCCCCAAGAGCUCACAUCGACGGGGAGGUUUGGCACCUCGAUGUCGGCUCGUCACAUUCUGGGGCUGGAGAAGGUCCCAAGGGUUGGGCUGUUCGCCCAUUAAAGUGGCACGCGAGCUGGGUUCAGAACGUCGUGAGACAGUUCGGUCCCUAUCUGUUGUGGGCGUAGGAAGUUUGAGAGGAUCUGACCUUAGUACGAGAGGACCGGGUUGGACUAACCGCUGGUGUACCAGUUGUGGCGUCAGCUGCACCGCUGGGUAGCUAUGUUGGGACGGGAUAAGCGCUGAAAGCAUCUAAGCGCGAAACCCACCUCAAGAUGAGAUUUCCAUUAAGGGACGUCAGAGAUUAUGACGUUGAUAGGCUGCAGGUGUAAAGUCAGUAAUGGCAAAGCUGAGCAGUACUAAUAACGC
rnacentral:rRNA from 1 species